GAAAGCAUUUGCCAAGGACGUUUUCAUUAAUCAAGAACGAAAGUUAGGGGAUCGAAGAUGAUCAGAUACCGUCGUAGUCUUAACCAUAAACUAUGCCGACUAGGGAUCGGGUGUUGUCCUUUUUUUGGCGCACUCGGCACCUUACGAGAAAUCAAAGUUUUUGGGUUCUGGGGGGAGUAUGGUCGCAAGGCUGAAACUUAAAGGAAUUGACGGAAGGGCACCACCAGGAGUGGAGCCUGCGGCUUAAUUUGACUCAACACGGGGAAACUCACCAGGUCCAGACACAAUAAGGAUUGACAGAUUGAGAGCUCUUUCUUGAUUUUGUGGGUGGUGGUGCAUGGCCGUUCUUAGUUGGUGGAGUGAUUUGUCUGCUUAAUUGCGAUAACGAACGAGACCUUAACCUACUAAAUAGUGCUGCUAGCAUUUGCUGGUACGACACUUCUUAGAGGGACUACCGAUUUCAAGUCGGUGGAAGUUUGAGGCAAUAACAGGUCUGUGAUGCCCUUAGACGUUCUGGGCCGCACGCGCGCUACACUGACGGAGCCAGCGAGUAUUAACCUUGGCCGAGAGGUCCGGGAAAUCUUGUGAAACUCCGUCGUGCUGGGGAUAGAGCAUUGUAAUUAUUGCUCUUCACGAGGAAUUCCUAG
rnacentral:rRNA from 1 species